UACGAAGGGUGCAAGCGUUACUCGGAAUUACUGGGCGUAAAGGGUGCGUAGGUGGUUUUUUAAGUCAGAUGUGAAAGCCCCGGGCUUAACCUGGGAACUGCGUUUGAAACUGGGAGACUUGAGUGUGGCAGAGGGGGGGUGGAAUUCCACGUGUAGCAGUGAAAUGCGUAGAUAUCAAGUGGAACACCAGUGGCGAAGGCGAGUCUCUGGACAUUUCCUGACGCUGAGGCACGAAAGCCAGGGGAGCAAACGGG
rnacentral:rRNA from 1 species